CGUAGAAUGGUGACUUCACUGGGAGCUAUCUAAGGUAAGACCGGUGACGUGGGCU
rnacentral:rRNA from 1 species